rnacentral:lncRNA from 1 species
CGCAUGGGGUCUCUCACAGCGGCCCCUGCCCAAGGACAGAUGGACUGACCCACAGGCAUCCACAAGUGGUGCUGAAGAAGCCGUGAAGAAAGGGGGAGGUGGGAAGGGCCUCGUCCAGGGUGUCUGGCUGCACAGGAGACAUAGCAGCUCCCACUGGCACCCUGCAUACAAGGGAAAGCCCUGGAAAUGCGCUCACCAAAGCCUCAGAGUUUUAUUAUCAGGAGCUCACAUUCAGGAGCAGGUCUGCUUGUCAAGAAUCCAAGCACGCCUGUGUUCUGUGGCCACAGGAGAGGAGGGGCCGCUUUUAAAUACAAGCCUACUCCUGUCGUUGGACCAGAACAAAGACCUACUGGCCAGAAGCACAUGAGAGGUGAGAGUCGCCCUUCUGCCUUGUUCGGCAUCGUGUGUGUGCACCUGUGUGUGUGUGUCUGUGCAACUGUGCAUGUGUGCACAUGUGUAGCACACCUAUGCAUGUACAUGUGCCUGUGUCGGUGUCCAUGUAUAUGCCUUGCAUGUGUGUGCUUGUGCACAUGCAGGAGUGUAUGUGUGUGCCGUGUGAGUGCCUGUGUACAUGUGCAAGAGUGGGCUCAGGUGUAUCCACAUGUUCAUGGUAUACCUCGGCCGGUCCUAGACCUAGUAUCAGACUCUGCUGCUCCUCACUGGCAUAAAGGCAGACCCUGAACUGGGCAUGGGGACACAGAUGGGUAACACACAAACCACAGGGCCCUGAUCCGGGGGAUGCUGGCCAAGCCACGGGCAGUGCAAUGCAGUAUGGCAAAGGAAGGUUUCCUGUCCACAGUGCCCCUCAAGGCAGGGCCCCCCAGGAGCCCACUGGCCAGGCCCAGAGGUGGGGUUAGCUCUGCAGUGUGAACUCAUAGGUUCUGGUCUCCCAGUGGGAGAGGUCCUUGUCCAUCAUGCUACGCUCAGUGAAGGUCACGUGGCCGUCCGCAUCUACCAGGAUGAUAGUGUUGGUUCUGAAAGAGAG